GGUAUGUAGUUCAAUGGUAGAGUACUUGCCCAGCAUGCAUGAGGCUCUGGGUUCAAUCCCCAGUACCA
rnacentral:tRNA from 1 species